rnacentral:rRNA from 1 species
CAGUAGCCGCGGUAAUACGAAGGGUGCAAGCGUUACUCGGAAUUACUGGGCGUAAAGCGUGCGUAGGUGGUGGUUUAAGUCCGUUGUGAAAGCCCUGGGCUCAACCUGGGAAUUGCAGUGGAUACUGGGUCACUAGAGUGUGGUAGAGGAUAGUGGAAUUUCCGGUGUAGCUGUGAAAUGCGUAGAGAUCGGAAGGAACAUCUGUGGCGAAGGCGACUAUCUGGGACAAUACUGACGCUGAGGCACGAAAGCGUGGGGAGCAAACAGGAUUAGAUACCCCAGUAGUCCCUGUCUCUUAUAC